AUUGAACGCUGGCGGCAUGCUUUACACAUGCAAGUCGAACGGUAACAGGUUGCUUGCACCGCUGACGAGUGACGAACGGGUGGGUAAUGCGUCGGAACGUGCCGAGCAGGGGGGCUAAGGCAGCGAAAGCCGGAUUAAUACCGCAUACGACCUGAGGGUGAAAGGGUGGGAUCGCAAGACCUCUCGCUAUUGGAGCGGUCGAUGUCAGAUUAGCUAGUUGGUGGGGUAAAGGCCUACCAAGGCAACGAUCUGUAGUUGGUCUGAGAGGACGACCAGCCACACUGGGACUGAGACACGGCCCAGACUCCUACGGGAGGCAGCAGUGGGGAAUUUUGGACAAUGGGCGCAAGCCUGAUCCAGCAAUGCCGCGUGCAGGAAGAAGGCCUUCGGGUUGUAAACUGCUUUUGUCAGGGAAGAAAUCUUCUGGGUUAAUACCUCGGGAGGAUGACGGUACCUGAAGAAUAAGCACCGGCUAACUACGUGCCAGCCGCCGCCGUAACAC
rnacentral:rRNA from 1 species